GAUAAAAAGAAGAAAAGAGAAAAAAA
rnacentral:sRNA from 1 species